AUUGUACUCCGUCCGUCCGGAAUUAGUUGUCGCGGGAAUGGACAAAGAUGAAUGUAUCUAGAACCAAAAUACAUCUAGAUACAUUCAUUCCUCCGACAAGUAUUUCCGGACGGGGGGAGUAUCAG
rfam:Triticum urartu cultivar G1812 contig322100, whole genome shotgun sequence.